AUGAAUUUAAGAAGGUAGCAUGUUAACAGAUGUGUGAGACUUGUUUUCUGUGUAUCCAAAUCCUUGUUUCACAUUGAAUGUUUUAAAAAUGAAUUUGAAAUUCAGUAUCUAUUCACCCCAUGACCUAAGAGUAUACAGAGGAACCAGUUAGAAAUGACCAGUUGAGGGUAGAGUGUUUAAUUGAGAAGUCAGCACAUACUGGCAGCUCUUAAACCAAAUAUUGGCUCGUUUAACUUGAAAUUGUAAGUAUUUUGAAAUUCUUUGUAACAUAUGCUAUAAUUUCAAUCCUUAUUUCCCCUGUUGUCAGACAUAGCGACUUUAGACUAAACAUACUUUUUGCCUUCAUCACAGUUCCAAGUUCUUCGAUUUGAUUUGUCUAAUGGAACAAAUUGAUGUUACCUUGAAGUGGUAUGAGGACCUGAUACCUUCAGUCUACUUUCCCCACUCCCAAACAUUGAUACAUCUUCUCCAAGCAUUGGAUGUGGCCAAUCGGCUAGAAAUGAUUCCUAAAAUUUGGAAAGAUAGUAAAGAAUAUGGUCAUACUUUCCGCAGCGACCUGAGAGAAGAGAUCCUGAAGCUCAUGGCAAGGGACAAGCACCCACCAGAGCUUCAGGUGGCAUUUGCUGACUGUGCUGCUGAUAUCAAAUCUGCGUAUGAAAGCCAACACAUCAGACAGACUGCUCAGGAUUGGCCAGCCACCUCUCUCAACUGUAUAGCUAUCCUCUUUUUAAGGGCUGGGAGAACUCAGGAAGCC
rnacentral:sRNA from 1 species